GUCGCCGCCACCCCGGCCCCGACCCCGGCCCCGGCCCGGUCCCGGUCCCGGCCGCGCAGGGGGCGCGCGGCUCCGCGCCGCCCCGCGCCGGCUGUUCCCGGCAACUUUUGCUCCUCUGAGGAGCGCCCGGCUGCUGGCGGGUCCUGCCCGGCAGCCGCGGCUGGGUGUGGUGGUACAGAAAUGAGUUCCGUCUGCAGAGCUCCGGAGCUUGUGGAGAAAGGUUAUGACUGAAAGUGGAAUCUCAAAGAAUGACAAGAAUAUGAAACAGAAAAAUUUAGUGGGUCUAACAUCCCGGACUUUACAAGAAGGAUGAAACACACUGGCAGAAACUCCAUCCAAUUUUGCCAGAAGAAUGACUUCCUGUGACUACGGCCCUGAAACAGAGCUGGAUGGGAAGCUGCUGAUGAUUAGGGAACUCCAGCUAGCUCAGAAAGCUGUGACAUUUCCUUAGCUGCACAGCCACCGCUAACAUAGGAGACCUUCCACUGAUUUCCUAUAGAAUUUUUAAUCUGGUUCAAAGACUCUGCUUACCGUUAUAGUUGGGUCCCAGAUACCUAGGAGACUGCCUAAAGCUCUGGAACGACAUGUGUGUUCUUCUGGUGCAACAGGAGUUCCUACUAUGAUAAGGGUGAACAUGUAGGAGAUGAAGACUUCUUAGGGACUGGUCCUUGAAAUUCAUUUCUAUAGCAGUGAAGAUCAUAAAAAUCUUUUGUUUCCAGUGAAAACUGCAUUUUCUUAAUUCUGCAUUUUCAAUUUUUCUGUGUCUAUAGCUAUAUUAUAUUAACACCACUUCUCCCCCACCACAACUCCCCCAAUUCUGUAUAGUCAAAAUAUAUUGUUUUGGUUGGAUAUUUCCACCAAAUACUUCAUUCUAUAUCAGCUGAAAAAUAUGGUUUUCUAAAUACAUAGAAUACCUCACAUACUGUGAUACUGUUUAUUUAAGGAGGUGCAGUUUUCUAUAUACAUGCUGUAGAAAUAUUUUUAGCUAGUGUGCAGUGUUUGCAGAGCCAGAUUGUGA